rnacentral:rRNA from 1 species
AUUGAACGCUGGCGGCAUGCUUUACACAUGCAAGUCGAACGGUAACAGGGAGCUUGCUCCGCUGACGAGUGGCGAACGGGUGAGUAAUGCGUCGGAACGUGCCGAGUAGUGGGGGAUAACGCAGCGAAAGUUGUGCUAAUACCGCAUACGUACUGAGGUAGAAAGUGGGGGACCUUCGGGCCUCACGCUAUUCGAGCGGCCGACGUCUGAUUUGCUGGUAGGUGGGGUAAAGGCUCACCUAGGCGACGAUCAGUAGCGGGUCGGAGGGGAUGAUACGCCACAAUGGGACUGAGUCACUGCCCAGACUCCUACGGGAGGCAGCAGGGGGGAAUUUUGGACAAUGGGCGAAAGCCUGAUCCAGCCAUGCCGCGUGUCUGAAGAAGGCCUUCGGGUUGUAAAGGACUUUUGUCGGGGAGGAAAUCCCCAGCGCUAAUACCGCUGGGGGAUGACAGUACCUGAAGAAUAAGCACCGGCUAACUACGUGCCAGCAGCCGCCGUAAUAC